ACUGUUGCUGCUGAGUGUCCUUAUCUCUACUCUUGUCCUUGGACAAAGAAAAUACAGAAUGAUAAACAAAACCUACAGGGUCAUAUGAAAUCUAAAUGAGCCAGGCACGUUGGACGUUGCAGGAAGAUCUAUCCAAGCAGCAUUUUUAUUCUGCUCUCUUUAGACACAUGUACAUUCAAAACCACCACAGAGAACCUGUAACUGAAACCAUUUGAAAAUCAACCAAAAAAAACCUCAGGUGCAGGAGCCCUUGACAUAUAGCUUUCAG